rnacentral:rRNA from 1 species
AUACCGUGAAACUGCGAAUGGCUCAUUAAAUCAGUUAUCGUUUAUUUGAUAGUACCUUACUACUUGGAUAACCGUGGUAAUUCUAGAGCUAAUACAUGCUGAAAACCCCAACUUCGGGAGGGGUGUAUUUAUUAGAUAAAAAACCAACGCCCUUCGGGGCUUCUUGGUGAUUCAUGAUAACUUUACGGAUCGCAUGGCCUUGCGCCGGCGACGGUUCAUUCAAAUUUCUGCCCUAUCAACUUUCGAUGGUAAGGUAUUGGCUUACCAUGGUUUCAACGGGUAACGGGGAAUUAGGGUUCGAUUCCGGAGAGGGAGCCUGAGAAACGGCUACCACAUCCAAGGAAGGCAGCAGGCGCGCAAAUUACCCAAUCCCGACACGGGGAGGUAGUGACAAUAAAUACUGAUACAGGGCUCUUUUGGGUCUUGUAAUUGGAAUGAGUACAAUUUAAACCUCUUAACGAGGAACAAUUGGAGGGCAAGUCUGGUGGCCAGCAGCCGCGGUAAUUCCAGCUCCAAUAGCGUAUAUUAAAGUUGUUGCAGUUAAAAAGCUCGUAGUUGAAACUUGGGUCUGGCUGGCAGGUCCGCCUCACCGCGUGUACUUGUCCGGCCGGGCCUUCCUUCUGGAGAACCUCAUGCCCUUCACUGGGCGUGUUGGGGACCAGGACUUUUACUUUGAAAAAAUUAGAGUGUUCAAAGCAGGCCUUUGCUCGAAUACGUUAGCAUGGAAUAAUAGAAUAGGACGUGCGGUCCUAUUUUGUUGGUUUCUAGGACCGCCGUAAUGAUUAAUAGGGACAGUCGGGGGCAUCAGUAUUCAAUUGUCAGAGGUGAAAUUCUUGGAUUUAUUGAAGACUAACUACUGCGAAAGCAUUUGCCAAGGAUGUUUUCAUUAAUCAGUGAACGAAAGUUAGGGGAUCGAAGACGAUCAGAUACCGUCGUAGUCUUAACCGUAAACUAUGCCGACUAGGGAUCGGGCGAUGUUCUUUUUCUGACUCGCUCGGCACCUUACGAGAAAUCAAAG